rnacentral:lncRNA from 1 species
UCUUAAUUUACAUGUCUAUGAGAAAGAUAAUUUAUUCUUUAACUGAAAUUAAACAUUUACCCCAUGUCUCUUCUUCUGAGGCAGUAACAUGCUUUUACUGAGAGGAACCAGGCCAUUUCCUAUAGUGGUCUUCCUGCCUUCACAUUUAAAUGUUACAUCAGUCUUUUUCUGUUUGGGGGAAUUUCUCUCUCUCUCUUUUCUUUUUUGUGAGACAGCGUCUGGCUCUGUCACCCAGGCUGGAGGGCAGUGGUAUGAUCUUGGCUCACUGAAGCCUUGACCACUUGGGCUCAAGCUAUCCUCCCACCUCAACCUCCUGAGUAGCUGAGACCACAGGCAUGCACCACCAUGGCUGGCUUUUUUGUUUGUUUGUUUUGUUUUUGUGAUAGCUUUGGUCCCAAUAUUUGGGGGAAUUUUAUUUUGAACAUCCAGAGGGGAGAUAAGAUAAUCUACUCUGCAACAAAGUCUAAACUCAGAUAUCUCUAUUUCUGAUUUCCUGAAAACGAAACAAAGGCUGAAGUAAGAAAGACAUUACCAUGGCUAAUACAAACUGCUGUCUUCAGCGUUUGUCUCAAGUUCUUUCAUAAACUGGACUCUCAAGGUCAGUUGGCACGCUUCUUCCCCAUUGGAUUUGCUUGUUGGGUGGAUAAUAAUGCUUUUACAUGAGAGGUUUUGAAGGCUGGAGCUUAUAAACAAA